CGGGCUGUAGCUCAGGGGUAGAGCACCCGACUUUGAUCGGGAGGACGGAGGUUCAAAUCCUUCCAGCUUGGCCA
rnacentral:tRNA from 1 species